rnacentral:rRNA from 1 species
UACGUAGGGUGCAAGCGUUGUCCGGAAUUAUUGGGCGUAAAGAGCUUGUAGGCGGUUUGUCGCGUCUGCUGUGAAAUUUCGGGGCUCAACCCCGAACUUGCAGUGGGUACGGGCAGACUAGAGUGUGGUAGGGGAGACUGGAAUUCCUGGUGUAGCGGUGAAAUGCGCAGAUAUCAGGAGGAACCCCGAUGGCGAAGGCAGGUCUCUGGGCCACUACUGACGCUGAGAAGCGAAAGCAUGGGGAGCGAACAGG